rnacentral:misc_RNA from 1 species
GAUGAAGAACGCAGCGAAAUGCGAUAAGUAAUGUGAAUUGCAGAAUUCAGUGAAUCAUCGAAUCUUUGAACGCACAUUGCGCCCGCCAGUAUUCUGGCGGGCAUGCCUGUUCGAGCGUCAUUUCAACCAUCAAGCCCCCGGCUUGUGUUGGGGACCUGCGGCUGCCGCAGGCCCUGAAAAGCAGUGGCGGGCUCGCUGUCACACCGAGCGUAGUAGCAUACAUCUCGCUCUGGGCGUGCUGUGGGUUCCGGCCGUUAAACCACCUUCAUAACCCAAGGUUGACCUCGGAUCAGGUAGGAAGACCCGCUGAACUUAAGCAUAUCAAUAAGCGGAGGA